rnacentral:rRNA from 1 species
AACGAACGCUGGCGGCAGGCCUAACACAUGCAAGUCGAACGCCCCGCAAGGGGAGUGGCAGACGGGUGAGUAACACGUGGGAACAUACCCUUCGGUUCGGAAUAACUCAGGGAAACUUGAGCUAAUACCGGAUACGUCCUGGCGGAGAAAGAUUUAUCGCCGAAGGAUUGGCCCGCGUCCGAUUAGCUAGUUGGUGAGGUAAUGGCUCACCAAGGCGACGAUCGGUAGCUGGUCUGAGAGGAUGAUCAGCCACACUGGGACUGAGACACGGCCCAGACUCCUACGGGAGGCAGCAGUGGGGAAUAUUGGACAAUGGGCGCAAGCCUGAUCCAGCCAUGCCGCGUGAGUGAUGAAGGCCCUAGGGUUGUAAAGCUCUUUCGUCAGGGACGAUAAUGACGGUACCUGAAGAAGAAGCCCCGGCUAACUUCGUGCCAGCCGCCGCCGUAAU